AUUGAACGCUGGCGGCAGGCUUAACACAUGCAAGCCGAGCGGAGAGAGGUAGCUUGCUACUGAUCUUAGCGGCGGACGGGUGAGUAAUGCUUAGGAAUCUGCCUAUUAGUGGGGGACAACAUUUCGAAAGGAAUGCUAAUACCGCAUACGUCCUACGGGAGAAAGCAGGGGAUCUUCGGACCUUGCGCUAAUAGAUGAGCCUAAGUCGGAUUAGCUAGUUGGUGGGGUAAAGGCCUACCAAGGCGACGAUCUGUAGCGGGUCUGAGAGGAUGAUCCGCCACACUGGGACUGAGACACGGCCCAGACUCCUACGGGAGGCAGCAGUGGGGAAUAUUGGACAAUGGGCGGAAGCCUGAUCCAGCCAUGCCGCGUGUGUGAAGAAGGCCUUAUGGUUGUAAAGCACUUUAAGCGAGGAGGAGGCUACUUUAGUUAAUACCUAGAGAUAGUGGACGUUAUUCGCAGAAUAAGCACCGGCUAACUCUGUGCCAGCAGCCGCCGUAA
rnacentral:rRNA from 1 species